rnacentral:rRNA from 1 species
UACGAAGGGGGCUAGCGUUGCUCGGAAUUACUGGGCGUAAAGCGCGCGUAGGCGGGUCGUUAAGUCGGGGGUGAAAUCCUGGAGCUCAACUCCAGAACUGCCUUCGAUACUGGCGAUCUUGAAUCCGGGAGAGGGAUGCGGAAUUCCAGGUGUAGCGGUGAAAUGCGUAGAUAUCUGGAGGAACACCGGUGGCGAAGGCGGCAUCCUGGACCGGCAUUGACGCUGAGGAGCGAAAGCCAGGGGAGCAAACGGG